rnacentral:lncRNA from 1 species
CUGUCCUGUGCCCCCGAGGGCUGCCAGAGAGUAAGGAUUCUUUUUUGCUUGUUUCAGGGUUCAUAGUGGCGUAAUGCGCGCAGACUCCUGCGAGUUCCCCUAAGUUCUUAGAGGACUGCUUUGCCUUUUGAAUCAGAGAGUUGCAAAGUUCGAUAAAGAAUGGCCCUUGUGGAUAAGCACAAAGUCAAGCGACAGCGAUUGGACAGAAUUUGUGAAGCUUCCGGACUUUAUCUGCUUCGAAUUAUGAUAUUUACAACAAUGAAUUCUGAGACAUUCCUGAAGAGCCCAGCAUUACCCCUUGUGAUGUGUACAGGUCCCUGGUAUCUUUGAAAAUGUCUGGAAGUGUUUUAUUCAUGAAAGGAAAGAUAAACAUAAUUAAAAUCUAAUGGAAACCUGGGGCCA